UACGUAGGGGGCGAGCGUUAUCCGGGUUCAUUGGGCGUAAAGCGCGCGUAGGCGGCCGCCUAAGCGGAACCUCUAACCCCGGGGCUCAACCUCGGGCCGGGUUCCGGACUGGGCGGCUCGAGUGCGGUAGAGGAGAGCGGAAUUCCCGGUGUAGCGGUGGAAUGCGCAGAUAUCGGGAAGAACACCGAUGGCGAAGGCAGCUCUCUGGGCCGUCACUGACGCUGAGGCGCGAAAGCUGGGGGAGCGAACAGG
rnacentral:rRNA from 1 species